GGGGUUGUAGCUUAGUGGUAAAGCACAUGACUGGCAUGCAUGAGGCACUGGGUUUAAUCCUCAGCACCA
rnacentral:tRNA from 1 species